AGCUACAGGCUUAACACAUGCAAGUCGAGGGGCAGCAUUUUAGUUUGCUUGCAAACUGAAGAUGGCGACCGGCGCACGGGUGAGUAACACGUAUCCAACCUGCCGAUAACUCCGGAAUAGCCUUUCGAAAGAAAGAUUAAUACCGGAUAGUAUACGAAUAUCGCAUGGUAUUUUUAUUAAAGAAUUUCGGUUAUCGAUGGGGAUGCGUUCCAUUAGUUUGUUGGCGGGGUAACGGCCCACCAAGACAACGAUGGAUAGGGGUUCUGAGAGGAAGGUCCCCCACAUUGGAACUGAGACACGGUCCAAACUCCUACGGGAGGCAGCAGUGAGGAAUAUUGGUCAAUGGGCGAGAGCCUGAACCAGCCAAGUAGCGUGAAGGAUGAAGGCUCUAUGGGUCGUAAACUUCUUUUAUAUGGGAAUAAAGUUUUCCACGUGUGGAAUUUUGUAUGUACCAUAUGAAUAAGGAUCGGCUAACUCCGUGCCAGCAGCCGCGGUAAUACGGAGGAUCCGAGCGUUAUCCGGAUUUAUUGGGUUUAAAGGGAGCGUAGGUGGAUUGUUAAGUCAGUUGUGAAAGUUUGCGGCUCAACCGUAAAAUUGCAGUUGAAACUGGCAGUCUUGAGUACAGUAGAGGUGGGCGGAAUUCGUGGUGUAGCGGUGAAAUGCUUAGAUAUCACGAAGAACUCCGAUUGCGAAGGCAGCUCACUAGACUGUCACUGACACUGAUGCUCGAAAGUGUGGGUAUCAAACAGGAUUAGAUACCCUGGUAGUCCACACAGUAAACGAUGAAUACUCGCUGUUUGCGAUAUACAGUAAGCGGCCAAGCGAAAGCAUUAAGUAUUCCACCUGGGGAGUACGCCGGCAACGGUGAAACUCAAAGGAAUUGACGGGGGCCCGCACAAGCGGAGGAACAUGUGGUUUAAUUCGAUGAUACGCGAGGAACCUUACCCGGGCUUAAAUUGCAACAGAAUAUAUUGGAAACAGUAUAGCCGUAAGGCUGUUGUGAAGGUGCUGCAUGGUUGUCGUCAGCUCGUGCCGUGAGGUGUCGGCUUAAGUGCCAUAACGAGCGCAACCCUUAUCUUUAGUUACUAACAGGUGAUGCUGAGGACUCUAGAGAGACUGCCGUCGUAAGAUGUGAGGAAGGUGGGGAUGACGUCAAAUCAGCACGGCCCUUACGUCCGGGGCUACACACGUGUUACAAUGGGGGGUACAGAAGGCGGCUACCUGGUGACAGGAUGCUAAUCCCAAAAACCUCUCUCAGUUCGGAUCGAAGUCUGCAACCCGACUUCGUGAAGCUGGAUUCGCUAGUAAUCGCGCAUCAGCCAUGGCGCGGUGAAUACGUUCCCGGGCCUUGUACACACCGCCCGUCAAGCCAUGAAAGCCGGGGGUACCUGAAGUACGUAACCGCAAGGAGCGUCCUAGGGUAAAACUGGUAAUUGGGGCUAAA
rnacentral:rRNA from 1 species